rnacentral:rRNA from 1 species
GAUGAACGCUGGCGGCGUGCUUAACACAUGCAAGUCGAACGAUGAAGCUCAGCUUGCUGGGUGGAUUAGUGGCGAACGGGUGAGUAACACGUGAGUAACCUGCCCUUAACUCUGGGAUAAGCCUGGGAAACUAGGUCUAAUACCGGAUAGGAGCGCCUACCGCAUGGUGGGUGUUGGAAAGAUUUAUCGGUUUUGGAUGGACUCGCGGCGUAUCAGCUUGUUGGUGAGGUAAUGGCUCACCAAGGCGACGACGGGUAGCCGGCCUGAGAGGGUGACCGGCCACACUGGGACUGAGACACGGCCCAGACUCCUACGGGAGGCAGCAGUGGGGAAUAUUGCACAAUGGGCGAAAGCCUGAUGCAGCGACGCCGCGUGAGGGAUGACGGCCUUCGGGUUGUAAACCUCUUUCAGUAGGGAAGAAGCGAAAGUGACGGUACCUGCAGAAGAAGCACCGGCUAACUACGUG